UAAGCGGAGGAAAAGAAACCAACAGGGAUUGCCUCAGUAGCGGCGAGUGAAGCGGCAAAAGCUCAAAUUUGAAAUCUGGCGUCUUUGGCGUCCGAGUUGUAAUUUGAAGAAGGUAUCUUUGGGCCCGGCUCUUGUCUAUGUUCCUUGGAACAGGACGUCACAGAGGGUGAGAAUCCCGUGCGAUGAGAUGACCCGGGUCUGUGUAAAGUUCCUUCGACGAGUCGAGUUGUUUGGGAAUGCAGCUCUAAGUGGGUGGUAAAUUCCAUCUAAAGCUAAAUAUUGGCGAGAGACCGAUAGCGAACAAGUACAGUGAUGGAAAGAUGAAAAGAACUUUGAAAAGAGAGUGAAAAAGUACGUGAAAUUGUUGAAAGGGAAGGGCUUGAGAUCAGACUUGGUAUUUUGCAUGCUGCUCUCUCGGGGGCGGCCGCUGCGGUUUACCGGGCCAGCAUCGGUUUGGAGCGGCAGGAUAAUGGCGGAGGAAUGUGGCACGGCUUCUGCUGUGUGUUAUAGCCUCUGACGAUACUGCCAGCCUAGACCGAGGACUGCG
rnacentral:rRNA from 1 species